rnacentral:tRNA from 1 species
GCUAGCUCAGUCAGUAGAGCAUGAGACUUGUGAUCUCAGGUUAGUGGGUUCAAGCCCCACACUGAGCA